UAGUUCACACCAUGCCGGCAUUUACUUACGGUAGCUUCUCAAAAAGCCACCCUAACAAACCUUGAGGGCAUUGCAUAAAGUGUCGCCUAUGAAUGCUGGCUUGUCCACCGGUAAAGUCUGAUGUUGCUUGCCACAAGGUAUGCUUCAUUGUUGGAGUGGUUUAGCAUUUUGCUGUUGUUGGUUUAUUACUUUAUGCCGGCUGUUGUACUGCUGUUAUGUUAAUUGUUGUUUGU
rnacentral:lncRNA from 1 species